rnacentral:rRNA from 1 species
GUAGGGGGCUAGCGUUUGUCCGGAUUCAUUGGGCGUAAAGAGCGUGUAGGCGGUUCGAUAGGUCCGGUGUGAAAACUCGAGGCUCAACCUCGAGAGGUCGCCGGAAACCAUUGAGCUAGAGUCCGGAAGAGGAGAGUGGAAUUCCUGGUGUAGCGGUGAAAUGCGCAGAUAUCAGGAAGAACACCCAUGGCGAAGGCAGCUCUCUGGGACGGUACUGACGCUGAGACGCGAAAGCGUGGGGAGCGAACAGGGAUUAGAUACCCUGGUAGUCCACGCCGUAAACGAUGGGCACUAGGUGUGGGUGGUGUCGACUCCAUCCGUGCCGAAGCUAACGCAUUAAGUGCCCCCGCCUGGGGAUACGGCCGCAAGGCUA